rnacentral:rRNA from 1 species
UACAGAGGGUGCGAGCGUUAAUCGGAAUUACUGGGCGUAAAGCGUGCGUAGACGGUUAUUUAAGUCGGGUGUGAAAGCCCCGGGCUCAACCUGGGAAUUGCAUUCGAGACUGAAUAGCUAGGGUACGGUAGAGGGAAGUGGAAUUUCCGGUGUAGUGGUGAAAUGCGUAGAUAUCGGAAGGAACAUCAGUGGCGAAAGCGACUUCCUGGACCAGUACCGACGUUC